UGGGGAAUAUUGCACAAUGGGGGGAACCCUGAUGCAGCGACGCCGCGUGAGCGAUGAAGGUUUUCGAAUCGUAAAGCUCUGUCCUUGGAGAAGAUAAUGACGGUAUCCAAGGAGGAAGCACCGGCUAAAUACGUGCCAGCAGCCGCGGUAAUACGUAUGGUGCGAGCGUUGUCCGGAAUUAUUGGGCGUAAAGGGUACGUAGGCGGUUUAUCAAGUCAGAUGUUAAAGCGUGGGGCUCAACCCCAUAAAGCAUUUGAAACUGAUAAACUUGAGUAGUGGAGAGGAAAGUGGAAUUCCUAGUGUAGCGGUGAAAUGCGUAGAUAUUAGGAGGAAUACCAGUUGCGAAGGCGACUUUCUGGACACAAACUGACGCUGAGGUACGAAAGCGUGGGGAGCAAAC
rnacentral:rRNA from 1 species